UUGUGGAAUGUGAGGACAGACUAACAGAAGAUAAGAGUCUCUGAGACACACUUGGUGGAGUCAGCAUACAAAGUCAAGUCCAUUCCGAGGGUUAGUCAAAUAGCAAUCCACGUAGGCAGAUAAUUCAGAGGUCAGGGAAUCCAAUGGUCAUGAAGCCAAAGGUGCAGAUGGAGACCAGGAAGCAGCAAGGUAGGACCAGGAACCAGAGGUGUUGUUUCCAGUAUCUGACUGCUGCUCAGAGCUCUGUUGAAGAAGGCUGAAGCCAUCUGGUUCUCAUCAGUGCCUUCUCCCCCAUGUCCUCAAAGGCUGAUCAGCUGCAGCCUUCAGGCUGUUCAGCAGGCGAAACUAACUCCUGGCCCAUGACAACAUGUGGGUUUUACAUUGAUCCCAACUGGUAGGGGAGGAACCUUAGAGGAGGCGGCAAUCACCCCAAGCAAGGUCUCCUUAAAGGGAGUCUUGAUAUAGUACAGUCCUUGCAUAAGGGCUAUGCUACUUCAAAAAACACGUGUAUGAAGCCAUCCAGAGAAAUCAAUAUCAGGAUGAAUGAAAGAGAUCCCCUCCCCCUUUCUUUGAGCAACACUUCAAGCACUGGAAGACAUUUCCCUAUGAUUUAACAUUAUUUUUAGCACCAACUGUUAAUACGCUUACGGGUCUUACAUUUUCGCUACAGUUACUGCUACAGAGUUCUCGUUACUAUAACUGACAGUUUGCUGGCUAAGCCCCAUAAUUAGGUGGUGAAGUUGUUUUCUUUGCCAUCUGGAUUUCAACCACUUUCAGAAAUGCCAUCCUUUGAAUAACUACCCUGCAUUGCUCUGAAGCAGGGAGGAAAGCCACGGGAAGAAUGGAGAUAUCUUAUGAACAGACCGUUAGGGUUGCAAACUCUCAAUCCACCCAACUAAUAUACGAAAAAAAUAAAACAUAAUGGAAUUAUUAUAAAGGUAGCCUUCCUAGAAGAAUGCUGCCAUGGGGGAACUAUGAGAUGCUUAGCAGCAGUACGUGGAGAAGAAUAUAAGACCUGUAUGGUACUACCAUUACAAAUGAUAAUUUGAGUUCCAACAAUAUGGUAAGCAAUUGCACCAAAUACAUGACUCUCAUUCCCAUUUUCGUGUGUAUCAUGCCAGAAUGGGGAACCUGUGCUACCCGUGGGUCAAACCUGGCCUGCCAAGGGUCUAAAUUUGGCCCACAGGACCAUUUUCCCCAUCAACACAGUUGAUGUCAGUUGUGGGGUGGCUUCUAAGGAAUGACUGGGAACCUGAAGUGAGCUCCUGAGAGUUCCUCUGCUUGAGAAAAAGGGGUGCUCAUACCUUUUUUUCCAUUGCUUCUGUGUAAACCACAUAGAGCUUUUUAUUAUAUCAAGUGGCAAUUUUUCCAUAAAUAUAGCAUACAAGUGGAGGUUUAGGUUGGGUUAUGAUUCAAGCCCAGGUCCAUAUCUAAUGUGCUACCCAUCAGAUCUCUUUAGUACACUGGCUAACUCCAGCUACUUAGAUUUUUUGUGUAAAAUCUUUUGUGUCUAGGUAAUGACAAGGAUACCACCAGCAAAUGUUCUGGUAGCACCUGAUGCUAUAAAACUGCUGAAGCUGUUGCAGUAGAUAUGAUCAGUCCUUUUGAUUGUGAGCCUCCUGGGAGGAUGUUCAUAUAUAAUAAAUGUUUAUUUUUAAGUCAGUUAUGAAAAAUGAUGAAUGGUUAAAAAAACAAAAAACUAAGCAACUCAGUUUUGCUUUUCUUCUUGUAAUCUAUACCUCAGAAGACAAAUGUGUUCAUUUCCAAUAAUGGUUCUUGUGAAUCCCCUGCUAUGCUCAGAGCCUGUCAACACACUCAAAGUUAAUGAGCAAAGCAAAAACAAACAAACACAGGAGUAGUAAUACUAUUGGAGCCAAGUUAAAAGGAUGAAUUAUCACUGGUUUUUUAUUCAGUCCUGUAUUUUGUGCUCCUGAGUUGUGGAGAUAGCUAUGGGCUUUUCUGCUCAUAGACUCAGGGAAAAGAGCUUCAGUACUAAAAAGCUAGAUUUGUACACCAUUAGCAACAGCCAAGAAUAUGGCUUCCAGAGGCCUCUUUCUGUUUGUUUGUUUGUUUGUUUGUUUGUUUGUUUGUUUGUUUCUUCCUUUGAUUAUCCCACCUCCUUUUCUCCAAGGCUGGCUGUCCAUGCAACUAGGUGCACAUUCUAGGCCUCCUGGAAGACCUGUGAUAUAGGGAUAAAAUGGAAGAUCCUUGAGGUGGUGGCAUUGUGACAUGGAGAUAGGAGACCUCUGUAUCACCAGCAAAUGUGGAUUUAUCCAGCAGUGACAUGUGGGGUGGGAUGGCGCCACCCUCCUGACACCAGCAUUGCUGCUGAUUUACUGGAGAGGGCUGGACUGUGGAAAGGUCAGGGCAGCUUGGGUGCACCAUCAGGAGUGCCAAGUCUGUAGCAGCGGCAGUCCCACUGGGGCAUUUGAGCAGCCCCAACCUUGGGGCAACCAACCACAGCAAGGAUGUUGGUGUUGGGAUGGUGGAAUUGCCAGGGCUUGAACCCAGGAUCUUCCACAUACAAGACAUGUGCUGUACCACUGAGCUAAGGCCCUCCCCAUACUGAUCAUGUACAAGAGCCCCAGUUCCCACUUUGUCAGAAGAAGAUGAGAUGGUGUCGUAGCCCUGGAGCAGGGUAUUCCUGGCACUAAACAGUGAGGCUGUGGAAUGCUUGCAGUGGCAAGUGAUUUAAAUCUGACAAAGCGGAGGAGAAAUUCAAUUUAGUCCAUGUUUAAAGCCGAAUCUUUAAAAGCCCUUUCCAAAACAAUAUGCAAACCAAAACACAGCUAGAAGAAUCAAAAUCUGCACAUUUUUGCGAUACAGUUCUCCAACCAAGAAAGGUGUACAAAAAAUGCAUGUGUUUGUGUGAAUAAAAAUAUCCGUAAAAAGAUAUUCAUGAAAAUAUUACACAAAAAUGCAUAUUAAGGGAAAUUGCUUGCAAAAAUGUGUACAUGACUCAAAACUGCAUAUGAAAAUGUGUUUAUUAUGAGAAAUUCACACUAUAAAAUGCUGGUGAAUUUUCAUAAGGAUAAAAAAUUGCAAAUUGCUGCAAAAUGUGGUGAACUGAAUUUAAGAUUGGAAAAAUGAAGAGAAUCAAAAUUGGCAUGUCCUUCUGUAAUAAGAAGGGAAAGGAACCUAUAUUCUCCCAAUGCAAUGUGUAAGGUGUCAUUGCCAUUCCUCAGUGUGUUUUGAUGCUUGCUCCUCAUACACUUCUGGUUACAUUGUCCUACAACCUAAGUGUCCUACAGCCUAAAUGUUUAACUUCUAGCCCUAUAGACUGAUCCACAGUACAGACAGAUCCCAUGCAGCCACUAAAACAUGGGAAAUUCCACCAGGGUUGUGUGCUGUUUCUUGCUUCUCAUGUUGACAGGUGCAUGAAAAACUAGAUAACUGUUGCCACUUGUCUCUGCUCUGUAGGCUCUUCAAUGAAGACCCCCCCCCAAAAAAAAACCCCCACGUUUUUACAUUUUGUUUAAUAGCACAUCAGAACACAAGAUGAGAGCAUCCUUAACCCCUUUCAAAUAGUACAGCAUAAAUUAAUUAGGAAAUUCUGAGAGUCCCAUUACAUUCACAUUAGUGUCAUUUUAGUUCAUCUCGAUUAAUGGCCUGGCACUUGGUACUCAAUGAAUAAAUUAAUGAUGGGCCACUUCAAGCUUAAGUAGAGAUGGUUGCCCUUUGUUGAAAACUAAAUGCUUCUCCAGGUCAUAGCUGGAUUGCUGGAACUAGCCAACCCGCCAGCCUUAAUACUACAAGACUGGUGUGGGGCUGUUUCCGUGACUUCCUUUUUGAUAGGGAGGUUAUCUUCUUGUCCACCACAGGAAAUGGGCUUCCUCUGACAAAAGGUUCUUGUAUUAAUUUACAAGGCAUUUAAUAACUUGGGUCCAGGACACCUCAAGGACCACCUAAUUCCUUAUAUUACUGAUUACAUUACUGAUUAUAUUACAGCUCUUUGCUGAGUCACUGUUAGUAUUAGCUCAGUACUGUGGGCCCAGCUUUAUGGAACUUCCUUCCAGUUGAGGUCAGACUUCCUGUUGAACUUCCAGGGUCUACUGAAGCCCAUCAUCAUUAUCAUUAUCAUCAUCAUCAUCAUCAUCAUCAUCAUCAUUAUUCCCAGCAGGCAUUUUAACCAAAGUUAGAUUUUAUCAUUUUUAUCCAUUUUUACUUUUUCAGUAUUGUAUUUCUUCUUCAGUUCACUAUUGCAGUUAAGCGUUACAUAAAAGGUAAAGGUAAAGGGACCCCUGACCAUUAGGUCCAGUCGUGACCGACUCUGGGGUUGCAGCGCUCAUCUCGCUUUAUUGGCCAAUGGAGCCGGCGUACAGCUUCCAGGUCAUGUGGCCAGCAUGACUAGGCCACUUCUGGCGAACCAGAGCAGCGCACAGAAACGCCAUUUACCUUCCCGCCAGAGCGGUUCCUAUUUAUCUACUUGCACUUUGAUGUGCUUUCGAACUGCUAUGUUGGCAGGAGCUGGGACUGAGCAACAGGAGCUCACCCCGUUGUGGGGAUUCGAACCGCCAACCUUCUGAUCAGCAAGUCCUAGGCUCUGUGGCUUAACCCACAGUGCCACCCGCGUCCCAAGUGUUACAGAGAUUGUUUAAAUAAAAUAAUACAAAACUGGAUGUUUCAGCAUCCCAUCUGAUUCUUUAGAAUCAGAGCAUUCCAACUCAAAACAUCUAAUAUAAGGCCACUUUGAAAGUGUCAGUUCUAGAGUGCAAUGCUCACCCCGUAUGAAGAAGCAGAAGAAAACUAUUUCCUGUGUCAAAUAUUUAAGGGCAUAUUAUUUGCGUGAUACUCAUAUAUCAUUCUAUUCUUCUCCAACAGCUGUGACAGACACAAGUUGCUUCCACUGCAGAAGAAAACGAAAAUGCAUUCCAGAUUGCCAUUAAGUGGCACAUACUUAUUUUGCACACAUUCUAGCUAUGGUGUAAAGCAGUAUAUAAAUGAUAUGAAUUAAAUAUAAGUAACUAGCU
rnacentral:lncRNA from 1 species